rnacentral:rRNA from 1 species
GACGAACGCUGGCGGCGUGCCUAAUACAUGCAAGUAGAACGCUGAAGGAGGAGCUUGCUCUUCUGGAUGAGUUGCGAACGGGUGAGUAACGCGUAGGUAACCUGCCUGGUAGCGGGGGAUAACUAUUGGAAACGAUAGUUAAUACCGCAUAACAGUAGAUGUUGCAUGACAUUUGCUUAAAAGGUGCAAUUGCACCACUACCAGAUGGACCUGCGUUGUAUUAGCUAGUUGGUGGGGUAACGGCUCACCAAGGCGACGAUACAUAGCCGACCUGAGAGGGUGAUCGGCCACACUGGGACUGAGACACGGCCCAGACUCCUACGGGAGGCAGCAGUAGGGAAUCUUCGGCAAUGGACGGAAGUCUGACCGAGCAACGCCGCGUGAGUGAAGAAGGUUUUCGGAUCGUAAAGCUCUGUUGUAAGAGAAGAACGAGUGUGAGAGUGGAAAGUUCACACUGGACG